rnacentral:siRNA from 1 species
GAAGCAAUGUCUACCCUUGAUGC